GUCGAGAAUCUUUCACAAUGGGGGCAACCCUGAUGGAGCGACGCCGCGUGGAGGAUAAGGUCUUCGGAUUGUAAACUCCUGUCAUGCGUGAACAAGGUUGCUUGGUUAAUACCUGGGCAAAUUGAUGGUAACGCAAGAGGAAGAGACGGCUAACUCUGUGCCAGCAGCCGCGGUAAUACAGAGGUCUCAAGCGUUGUUCGGAAUCACUGGGCGUAAAGGGUGCGUAGGUGGCGUGGUAAGUCAGAUGUGAAAGCCAGGGGCUCAACCUCGGAACUGCAUCCGAUACUGCCAUGCUAGAGUACUGGAGAGGUGACUAGAAUUCUCGGUGUAACAGUGAAAUGCGUAGAUAUCGAGAGGAAUACCAAAGGCGUAGGCAGGUCACUGGACAGUUACUGACACUGAGGCACGAAGGCCAGGGGAGCGAACGGGAUUAGAAACCCCUGUAGUCC
rnacentral:rRNA from 1 species